rnacentral:rRNA from 1 species
UACGUAGGGUGCAAGCGUUGUCCGGAAUUAUUGGGCGUAAAGAGCUCGUAGGCGGUCUGUCGCGUCGGAUGUGAAAAUCAGGGCUCAACCCUGGACCUGCAUUCGAUACGGGCAGACUAGAGUUCGGCAGGGGAGACUGGAAUUCCUGGUGUAGCGGUGAAAUGCGCAGAUAUCAGGAGGAACACCGGUGGCGAAGGCGGGUCUCUGGGCCGAUACUGACGCUGAGGAGCGAAAGUGUGGGGAGCGAACAGG